rnacentral:lncRNA from 1 species
CUAAAUACUUUCAUGCUGUGCGCUUAAUCUUAUAUUCCGUGCGCCUGAGAGGGACACUCGAUCUUGAUUGUGGCGCGCGUCCCUUUACGUGAUAUCAGUGUGUGAGCUACAAACGACAAGGGGAAAUCACGCGUUUGUGCAAACAAUUGUGAGCAGGCCGUCUUUCGUUUUGUUCCAUCGCAGCACACUCUGAGGUCCCUAUAUCCUGACAGGUGCCUAGCAUUCACAACAGAUGAAGUUGUAUCGUUGUGUGCCCAGCAGUUCUCUUGCUCGUGUUUUUCGUUUGAUAGUCAUCUGUCGGCUGCUUUUCUUGCAGGUCGUUUAGGAUCGUGACUUGGCCCUGACAGGGAUGCAGCCCCCUCACAGUUGGGAGGCCACUGUCGAGGAGUUUCUGGUAUUGCAAUCCAUAUUGCCACACUUCCAGUGCUGGCUGGACGACACUGAGUUGCAACUGAGCCCAGAAGAGGCAGAUGAGCUCAUACAGAAGGGGUGCCAGGGGCGCCGGCUCAGCUGUAUGGCCUCUGUGCAUGUGUCUCUGCCAGAAGAUGGCCUCGC